rnacentral:rRNA from 1 species
UACGUAGGGGGCAAGCGUUGUUCGGAAUUACUGGGCGUAAAGGGCGCGUAGGCGGCAUGGCAAGUCAGGAGUGAAAGCCCGGGGCUCAACCCCGGAACGUCUUUUGAAACUGCCAAGCUAGAGUGCGGAAGAGGCAACUGGAAUUCCCAGUGUAGCGGUGAAAUGCGUAGAUAUUGGGAAGAACACCUGAGGCGAAGGCGGGUUGCUGGGCCGACACUGACGCUGAGGCGCGAAAGCGUGGGGAGCGAACAGG